rnacentral:lncRNA from 1 species
AAAUAUAUAGCCCCUGUGGACCAUUUGCAUGCUAAUGAUCUGGGUGGUCACCUGAGAGUCGUUAGCAAGGUCGAUGACACCUGGGUCAAAAUUCAAAUACAAGAAUUGGAAGCGUUCUCCGAUCACCUCAACAAAACAGACGAGCAUGUAAAAUUCACCCGGGAAGAGGUAAAAGGAAACAGUCUGGCCUUUCUGGACUGCGCAGUCAAGAUCACUGAGGACAGAAAUCUCACCAUCGAAGUCUACAGAAAACCUACACACACCGACCAGUACCUCCAGUUUGACUCUCACCACCCACUGGAACACAAGUUGGGAGUGAUCAGAACUCUCCAACACCGGGCCAGAGAAAUACCCACCACAUCCCAAGGCAGAAAGAAGGAACAGGACCACAUUAAGACAGCUCUCAAAACAUGUGGCUACCCAGACUGGGCCUUCACCAAAACCUCAAGAAAGCAAGACCUCAGCAAAGGAGAGGAGGAGAGAAACAAACGCCGCAGCGUUUCCAUCCCCUACCUGUCUGGAGUCUCGGAGAAGUUUAGGAGGAUCCUCCAGAAACACGACAUACCGGUUCAUUUCAAACCCAGCAACACUCUCAGACAGAGGUUAGUACACCCAAAGGACAAGACACCAAGACCCAAACAAAGUAAUGUUGUUUAUGCUGUACAGUGCCAGGAGGAAUGCAAGGAACUGUACAUUGGGGAAACCAAACAACCUCUACACAGAAGAAUGGCACAACACAGACGUGCCACCUCUUCGGGUCAGGAUUCAGCAGUCCACUUACACUUAAAGGAGAGUGGGCACUCCUUCGAGGACAGCCAAGUACGGAUACUGGCCAGAGAAGACCGCUGGUUCGAAAGGGGGGUCAAGGAAGCUAUCCAUGUUAAAUUGGAGAAACCAUCCUUAAACAGAGGUGGUGGCCUGAGGCACUUCCUAUCACCCACAUACAAUGCAGUCCUCCACUCCUUCCAACAGCAAAACAAACAUUCACACCAUUCCAAGAGACCCAGUGACUCAUCACCAUGUGACCCAGCAGACAAAGGGGAGACAUCUCAACAGAAACUAGGUGAACGACCCGACCACCGACCCUGCUAA